CCCCAAAAAAGGAUUUAACUCUCUAACUACUUAUAUUUUUUUUUCAUUAGCGUUUUGAAAGGGGUUAUGUUCCUCCGGAAACAUUUUUCUCUUAUCACAAGUCUUGUGAUAUAUGAGAAUAACUUUAUUUGAGCAAGUAGUACUCAGUUGAGUAAUUCACAAUCGAUUUAAAAUUAAAACUUAAAUAAAAUUAGAGACAAAGACAAAGUCCUGCUUACCCAAGAAAUUCCGAUAGCUAGAUAAGACUUUGUAAUUGACUAAUUGACAUAGACCCAAGUUAUCUAGUAAAAUGGAGAAAUGAUGCACCAGAUAAGGGGAAUGGUCGGGAUAGCUCAGUUGGUAGAGCAGAGGACUGAAAAUCCUCGUGUC
rnacentral:misc_RNA from 1 species